rnacentral:rRNA from 1 species
CUGGUCUUGACAUCCACAGAACUUGGCAGAGAUGCCUUGGUGCCUUCGGGAACUGUGAGACAGGUGCUGCAUGGCUGUCGUCAGCUCGUGUUGUGAAAUGUUGGGCUAAGUCCCGCAACGAGCGCAACCCUUAUCCUUUGUUGCCAGCGGUUAGGCCGGGAACUCAAAGGAGACUGCCAGUGAUAAACUGGAGGAAGGUGGGGAUGACGUCAAGUCAUCAUGGCCCUUACGACCAGGGCUACACACGUGCUACAAUGGCGCAUACAAAGAGAAGCAAACUCGCGAGAGCAAGCGGACCUCAUAAAGUGCGUCGUAGUCCGGAUUGGAGUCUGUAACUCGACUCCAUGAAGUCGGAAUCGCUAGUAAUCGUGAAUCAGAAUGUCACGGUGAAUACGUUCCC